AGGGGAAGGGAAACGCUUUCAGCAGACCUGGGCUGCUCCUCAGGACGUGUCCGCAUGUCCCUCUUGCUUUCCAGUUGCACGCAUGGGCCCACCACUGGGCUUAAGAGACUAUGCGCCCGGCAUGCUGCCCGGACGCCACGACCUGCCGCUACAUCCCCGCGAGUUCUUGCCGAGACCUGUGCCAUUCAGGCCUCCAGGCCCGCUCGGCGCCCGAGCAUAUUUCAUUUCGGAUCUGCGAAUGCCACCCGCUGGACUCCAAGACUACCGACCACCACCUGCCGGGCCCCAGGAUAACCCACCGAUGCCUGCCGGGCCCCAGGACAACCCACCAUGCCUGCCGGGCCCCAGGACAACCCACCACCGCCUGCUGGGCGCCAGGCCUACCCACCACCGCCUGCCGGGCCCCAGGACAACCCACCACCGCCUGCCGGGCCCCAGGACUACCAACCACCAAGUGCCGGGCUCCCGGACUACCCACCGCCGCCUGCCCGGCCCCACGACUACCCACCGCCGCCUGCGGGGGUCCCAGGAAAACCCACCACCAAGUGCCGGGCCUCAGGACCAUGGAUGGCCGCCCUCUGCGAGCCUAAACUUCGCAUGCUGUGACAUUCCCAGAGCCGACUUCGAUCCCGGCCCUGGCCCCGUGGCCAACAGCAGCUCCCGCGGCUCCUCCCCAGCGAAGGACAUGGACAACGCCAAGGUGAGCAUGGCCGUGAAGGGGCCCCCAGCCCAUCCAGGGCCCCCGUUCCUGGGAGGCCCCAUGCCGUCCCACGUGGACUAUGGGUCGCCGCCGCCACCACUGCUCUGCAGAUCCUUCGGGCCUCGGCCGAUGUCUCCUAGGCCACCGCAACCAUUCGUUGCACGCAUGGGCCCACCACUGGGCUUAAGAGACUAUGCGCCCGGCAUGCUGCCCGGACGCCACGACCUGCCGCUACAUCCCCGCGAGUUCUUGCCUGGACCUGUGCCAUUCAGGCCUCCAGGCCCGCUCGGCGCCCGAGCAUAUUUCAUUUCGGAUCUGCGAAUGCCACCCGCUGGACUCCAAGACUACCGACCACCACCUGCCGGGCCCCAGGAUAACCCACCGAUGCCUGCCGGGCCCCAGGACAACCCACCACCGCCUGCUGGGCGCCAGGCCUACCCACCACCACGUGCCGGGCACCAGCACUACCCACCACCGCCUGCCAGGCCCCAGGACUACCAACCACCAAGUGCCGGGCUCCAGGACUACCCACCGCCGCCUGCCCGGCCCCACGACUACCCACCGCCGCCUGCGGGGGUCCCAGGAAAACCCACCACCAAGUGCCGGGCCUCAGGACCAUGGAUGGCCGCCCUCUGCGAGCCUAAACUUCGCAUGCUGUGACAUUCCCAGAGCCGACUUCGGUGAGCCUCUCCAGGGCCUCGAGUCCUGGGACUCCAUGACAGCAUGCUGCAUUGCCCCGA
rnacentral:lncRNA from 1 species